rnacentral:rRNA from 1 species
UACGUAGGGAGCGAGCGUUGUCCGGAAUUACUGGGCGUAAAGGGUGCGUAGGCGGCGAUGUAAGUCAGAUGUGAAAUCCCCGGGCUCAACUCGGGUUCUGCAUUUGAAACUACAUUGCUUGAGUGCAGGAGAGGAAAGCGGAAUUCCUAGUGUAGCGGUGAAAUGCGUAGAUAUUAGGAAGAACACCAGUGGCGAAGGCGGCUUUCUGGACUGCAACUGACGCUGAGGCACGAAAGCGUGGGGAGCAAACAGG